GAGAAUUUGAACCCAGGGUUUCCUGGCUCUGAGGGCUGUUCUCUACCUGCUAUAAUUAUGCUGGCUUUCACACCUCUUCCUUUUAAAUUGUAGCCAUUGCAGACCAGCAUAGUUUGCCUGUUGAAAAGUUGAACCUUUCUGAAAAUCUCUAUUUUUCAAAGUUUUUUCAGCAUAAUCUCUACAUCUUCAGUUUGUAUUGUUGUUGGCUCAAUGACCAUUCUUUGGUGCUCACUACUUGCUGAGAAUGCAAUCUCCAAAGUACUCUGAGUGUUUAAUCUUUGAAUCAACUCAAGAAGAUGGAGUUACCCCAACUGGAAAACUCCAGCCUGAUUUCAAGGAAAUUGCAGCUGCAACAAUAAGAUAGAAAUUCAACUAGUUUGGAGGAGGCAAGGAUGAAAGGAUAGAGAGCCAAAGGAAUUAAGUUACAUGGAAGAAUAUACAAGAGCUCCUUUAGGAAAUAAACCUAUAACAGGAACCAUGGGCCCCUGAUCUCCUAGGCAGCAGAACCAGCCUGUGUUGGUAUGACUGUACAGUCUGUGUCUUUGUCAUCCAGAAAAGAAUGACUCUUCCCAUGAGUUAUCACUUCUCAGCAGCAUGUUACAAUGGACUAUUUUAGGGGACCUGGCCUUGGUGAGAAUUGUAGAGAAUGAGUUGGAAAGGUGGGCUUUUACAUCCUGAGGAAGAUCUGUUGCCAGAACUCUGCUAGCAUCACAGAUUUAGAACAAGGGGACUUCAAUUUGACAUACAGACACUAUAUGAGGAAGCUGCAAAAACAGUAGUCACUAAGGAAGAUAACUUCAUGGAAAAUGAGAAUAGAGGGUGGAAGAGAGGAUUUCCCACUGCUUUCCUGGAAGAACCCAUUUUUCCCAGAAGCAAAGGGUUCCACUAUCCCUUUAUUUUAAAAAUAGUUCCCUUUCUAUUAGCAGCCAGGUUCCAAGCCCUUCCCAAUCCUGCCACCCCAGGAGAUACUUAACUCCCACAGAGAACUGCAGUGGGGCCACUUAAAACCUACAGGAACUCAACCCCUGUGAGUAGAGGCACUGCCCACCCUGAAGCUUUCUCCAUCAGCUACAAUCCUCUCGUGAAUAUUAACUGAGUAACUGACAUAUGGACACCAUUCAUCAUCUUUGUGAGAGAGUAACACCCAAAGUAAACACUUGGGAGAGUAAUUGGCUGUUACAACAUCCUUGCAUUACAGGAUCAUUGUAUGCUUUUCCCUGAUUCUUAUAAAACAGGAGAGGAAAGAAGUUUUCUUUUUUUUACUGAGUACAAUGAAAUCUAAUGCACAACACAAGUUCCCUACUUUUCAGCAGACAAUGACAAUGGAAACAAUGCUUCAACUUUUCCUUCUCCUCCCCAACCCCCAUCAAAAAAAGAAAAAAGAAAGAAGAAAGUAGA